rnacentral:tRNA from 1 species
GUUUAAGUAGCUUAUAAUAAAGAGCGUGGCAUUGAAGCUGCCAAGGAAGUUAAUUUAACUCUUAAAUA